UUUAGAGCACCUAGAAAUGAUUUCCAACGUAGAAAUAAUUAUUCUAGAAAUGCUGCUCAUAGUAGGAGAAAUGAUGUUCAUAAAGCGCGGAAUAGUCAUAAUGCUGAAAAUAGAGUAAACCAUUUUCGCCCGUCAAGUUACUAUGAACCUAGAAGGAUGCAUAACCCCAACGUGACUUGUCAUUAUUGUAGACGUAUUGGUCAUAUUGCUCCUGCAUGUUUUAAACGACAUAGACAUAUCACUCAAUAGCAUCAUUAUGAAAUGCCUAACCCCCAAGGACCCAAAAUGGCAUGGGUAACAAAAGAUCAUUAAUCUGUUUUGCAGGUGUGCUUGAAAGGCUACAGUAUUAUAGUAGAUGCACCGAGCACGACACCUCAUUGCAUCAAGAGGAAAUUUCGGUUAGUUAUCCUUUUUGACAAAAACCGAAUUGUUGAUAUGUGCUAGCAACCAAUAUUAACUUAUUUGUUGUUAAUUUGGUUCCCUUAUUAUUGAAUCUGUGAUAAGCUUAGUCGUAAUAGUUGAUGUGCG
rnacentral:lncRNA from 1 species